GGGGCCGUAAAUGGUUUCGACGGGGAUCGCUGAAGCCGGAUAAGCGAGCCGAAGCCCCGCGCUUCGUUAAAAGCGGGAAAUUAAAAAACAACUGACGAAUCUAAUUUCGUACCCGUCGCUGCUUAAGCAGUGACCGUCCGUCCCCGGUUGCCCACGACCGGGAUCACGGGCGUCAUCAAUGUGGGGAACCAACCUGCAUAAGCUUUGCUGCAGGUGGGAUCUUAUGAAGCUACUAAAAUCCUGACCCUGCCGCUGGGGGCCGGAUGGAGGGAACGUUAAAACAUCGGCUACGCUCGUAGAAAGUCUUGUGGACGGGUCUUCGGACAGGAGUUCGACUCUCCUCGGCUCCACCA
rnacentral:tmRNA from 2 species